UAGAUGUAUUUCUAGCGUAGGUGCAGCUGGUGCACCAGUCUAGCGUGGCAAAUGCAUCCCUGGCUACAGUUUCUUACAACCAAUCAUCCAGGUCUCCCCCUUUUUUGUCGUAACCGAUCGCGGCCUUUCCCUAGCCAGAACGCCACCUCUUAAUAGAGGCGGGCUCAAAACUUCAAACAACUUUUCCUGUUAAUAAAAGAAUUUUAUUAACCAGGCUGUAAAAACAGGCUGCCUGGCACAGCUUGUAACAGAAGCCUGUAUGUAGCAAGGUUUCAGUAGACCAACAGAUUCUUGACAGUGUGCUCCGUUGUAAUGCUCUUCUUGCAAUUUCUGUUGUUGCUGCUGAAAAGGUCAGUGUUAUUUAAUGCACUUGCUUGUUCCUAGAACUUGCUUGGUCUCAAAUAUCUUGUCAAACCUGUCUCUCUUGUAUUUGACAAGUUCAGGAAGAGGCCAUGGCUUCAGGGUUUUAAAACACAGGCAGAGAGGUGAAGCCAGCCAUUUGGCCCUUGGAGGUUGGGCUAGGUUGUAAUCCCAAAUGGGGUCCUUUACCGAUGACUGUACGAGCUAAAACAUUAUGAACACCUGUUUUGUUUUCGUCCUCCUCUCCCUCAGCAGAUGGCUGCUCCUUUAGACUGUUCUCGGCUGAUUCAGGAGCACCGGGAACGGCUCCUGCGUUGGAUUGAACCCAGCCCAGCUCCGUUGCUCCGUCGACUCUGGGAUGGUGGGGUCCUCACCCAGCCGGAGUACUUCUCCUUGCUGGAAACCAGUCCCAAGACAAACCAAGUCAUUGCGCUUCUGGACAGAGUCAGUGGGAAGCUGGAGGACAGCCAGAAAUUCCUGGAAGAGCUGAAAGAACUCAACGAGGUGUAUUGCCCUGAGCUACAGCAAUGGCUGCAGGAACACUGCCCUGAAGAAGAAAAACGAGAUGUGCCUCUGAUCCAGACAGAGCCUUUUCCCAGACCUUCCAAAAGAUCUUUCCUGAAAUUUUGGAAAUCAAAGAAAUACAAGUUUCCAACAACAUCUGCAGGCAAGUCAGUCUCCCCCAUGACCUCAUAAGGAUGUUUCUAUUUCUUUUUCUGUUUAUUAUACAGUGGUGCCUCGCAUAACGAUGUUAAUUGGUUCCAUUAAAAAUAUCGUUAUGUGCAAACAUCGUUAAGCGAAACACCAUUUCCCAUAGGAAUGCAUUGAAAACCGGUUAAUCCGUUCCAAUAGGAGCCUAUUCAAUACAUUUCAAUGGUGAAAACAAAAUCACCAAAAAUUCAAAAAGACUCAGAACGAAGCCAAAUUACUUUAACGAAGGUUUUAUUAGGUGCACUAAUGAUUCCAAGCAUUUUAAACAUUUUCUAAACAUUUUAGAAUAUUUUUAAAAUAGCAAAAACAGGGCUGUCAAAAAAAACGUUAAGCGAAACAGGGGACCUAAAACUGUCAUCGUUAAGUGAAGCAAGGUCCCAAACAUCGUUAUGCGAAAAUCCCCCAUAGGAAACAUCGUUAGGUGAGGCGGCAAAAUUUCCAGCAAAGGCCAUCAUUAUGUGAAUUCAUCGUUGAGCGAGGCACUCGUUAAGCGAGGCACCACUGUAUUUGUAUUCUGCUUAGUGGUGUAGUGGCGCCACAGCUUGCAAGGCUGAAACCCCGGGAUUUCCUGUGAUAUUAUCUGUAGCCCCAAUUCGGUUUGAGCUUAGUUGCAGUUCUCACAGUAUGCUGUGAACGCAAUGCAUUUUCCUAGAAACAACAUACCGUUGCAAGUUGUCUCUUUUAUCUCCGGGGAUGGUUUGGUCCUGAAGGGGUAGUUAGGAGCCAUGAGCUUUACAGAAGACCUGCUCCUUAAGGGUUAGUUUGGUCGAUUCACUUGUCCAAAUAUUUGGACUUUCCUAAUAGAGCAUGGUGACCUUAGCAGCUGUCAUGAUGAUCUAUGGAAUUUCGAAUUUAGCAUGAAAGCAGUGCUUUCUGUUUUUCAGCCAAGAUGUGUUUCUAAGCCUCUUACAAUUGGAUUCAUGUACAGUGAUAUGACAAGGUGGAUCGGACCUGAUUCCUUGUAGACAGAGUGUUAAGUAACAGC
ensembl:lncRNA